AGAGCAAUUUAUAAGAAUAUACAUGUUAAUGCUUUUGUUGCAUAAUAUGUUGGAGGACAGCUGGUCUGAGAGAAUUUGAUUGAUGGAUAUGAUUGUUCUAUGGUGUUAUAUGUUGUGUGAAACUUUUGUCAACUUGUGUGUUUGCUCAAACAAUGUGAUUGUUUUGUGCAUCCUAGAUCUAUCUCUUGUACUGUAAAAGAGUGUGUAAUGGCAUCAACUACCUACCAGUUGUUUUGAGGAAUAUUUAUGUUGUAUAUAUUUUGACAGAAACUACUUCUUUGAUUUAAAUGUAGCAUUUUUCAUCCGAAAUUAUGAUAUUCCAGGUAAAAUUUUCCUGAGUGUAACUCAUAAAUUAUUACUUUUCUUAAAAAAAAUCAAAGUUGUAAUCAGUAUAUUUGUACAGCACAUUUACUCUGCAGGGCAAAAACAUGACAAAUGUUGAUAUUACAAAGCUCCUGCAGACUGAUAGUCAGCAAAUGUGUAUGUGUCCUUGUACAUGUCUGAAAGUUGCUGCCAAACAUUUAACACGCCAAAUCACAAGCAUUGUACAACUGGCAUUAUUUUGGGGGAGGGGGGGGGGGGGGGCACACAUAUCAUUAUUGACAUGCCUAGAAGAAUGACUGGAAUGCUUUCCGUGAGUUUUGUGUUUGUUUUGUAAAUAGUUCAAGCAAAAAUGUGUGUACUUGAUUUUCAUGUAGUAUGUUGUUGGAUGUUUGUUUUUUUUUCAAAUGUAAUUUUCUUCCUUUUUUAAAAUUUGAUUUACUGCAUUGAUCUCCAUAAUUAUGUUCAAUACAGUGUUAUCAUGGCAAGAUUUUGAUCAUUUGUAUUUAUGUACAAAAUUUUGCUUAAAUUGUGCUCUUCUGUUUCCAAAAAAUGAUCAAUUGUGUUUGUUAAAAAUAUUAUGAAAACAGUU
rnacentral:sRNA from 1 species